UAAUAAUAAUAACAAUAACAAUAAUGGAUAGUAUAAUUUAAAAUAUAUUUUUAAAUUUAAAAAACAAAUUUUUGAUUAUACAUUUUGAAAUGCAAUAAAAUAAUGGGAAGACGAUUUAGGAAAAAUGGAAACUGGGGGUGUGGGUUUCAGGGAGUGAAGGAUAGGGUUAAAGGUUUCAACCUAACUUUAAUGCAGGAUAUUUUGGGAAUUAAGGGUUUUGUGAGGUGCGAAAAGAAAAAAGGAGUUGCAGGAAGAAAAAUUAU
rnacentral:lncRNA from 1 species